AUAAUGGAAGAAUUAGAGGGAGCUUCCUUCAGUCCACUCAUAGGUGGGUAGAGGGUAUGGAUUUGCUGCCGACUCAUUCAUUCAAACACAAUAGUACCAUUGUAGUUUGAACAUACUAUUGUGACUGUGUGAAUGAUGCGGGAGACGAAUCUGAUCCUAUCCUGAUUGUGGUUGGACUGAAGGGAGCUCCCUUGUUGU
rnacentral:pre_miRNA from 1 species